rnacentral:rRNA from 1 species
CCUUAUUAAGCACCAAGGAGCAGGUAUCAGGCACAACUAUUUAGCCCAAAACACCUUGCUACGCCACACCCACACGGGCACCCAGCAGUGAUAAAUAUUAAGCAAUGAGUGAAAGCCAACCCAAGCUCGACUUAGUUAUGGUCAUUAGGGCCGGUAAACCUCGUGCCAGCCACCGCGGUUAUACGAGGGGCCCAAAACAACGGACACCGGCGUAAAUUGUGGCUAGAGCACCUUCUUACAGUACUGAAAAAUGAAAAAAGGCCUAAUCGUAAAACCUAGGCCAAAAGAAACACACAUUUUCAACCAUAAAGCAACUUGAACCCACGAAGACUAAGAAACAAACUAGGAUUAGAUACCCUACUAUGCUUAGUUGUUAAUAUGACACAAAAAAACACAACUGUCCGCCAGAGAAUUACACGCGAAAAGCUUAAAACUCAAAAGACUUGGCGGUGCUCCGUAUUCGUCUUAGAGGAGCCUGUCCUAUAAUCGAUAACCCACGCUUUACCUUACCAUCUUUUGUCAAAACAGCCUAUAUACCGCCGUCGCAAACUUACCCCAUGAGGGCAUAAUAGUAAGUAAAAUAGUAACACACUAACACGUCAGGUCAAGGUGUAGCCAAUAAGAUGGAAGAGAUGGGGUACAUUUUUUAAAACAGAACACAC